rnacentral:rRNA from 1 species
AUUGAACGCUGGCGGCAUGCUUUACACAUGCAAGUCGAACGGUAACAGGCCUUCGGGUGCUGACGAGUGGCGAACGGGUGAGUAAUGCAUCGGAACGUGCCCAGAGGUGGGGGAUAACGCAGCGAAAGCUGUGCUAAUACCGCAUGUGAUCUGAGGAUGAAAGCGGGGGACCAGGCAGCAAUGUUUGGCCUCGCGCCUUUGGAGCGGCCGAUGUCAGAUUAGGUAGUUGGUGGGGUAAAGGCCUACCAAGCCGACGAUCUGUAGCUGGUCUGAGAGGACGACCAGCCACACUGGGACUGAGACACGGCCCAGACUCCUACGGGAGGCAGCAGUGGGGAAUUUUGGACAAUGGGCGCAAGCCUGAUCCAGCAAUGCCGCGUGCGGGAAGAAGGCCUUCGGGUUGUAAACCGCUUUUGUACGGAACGAAAAGGCUCUGGCUAAUCCCUGGGGCUGAUGACGGUACCGGAAGAAUAAGCACCGGCUAACUACGUG